rnacentral:rRNA from 1 species
AGAGUUUGAUCCUGGCUCAGAUUGAACGCUGGCGGCAUGCCUAACACAUGCAAGUCGAACGGUAACAGGAGAGAGCUUGCUCUCUUGCUGACGAGUGGCGGACGGGUGAGUAAUGCAUAGGAAUCUGCCCAGUAGUGGGGGACAACUCGGGGAAACUCGAGCUAAUACCGCAUACGCCCUACGGGGGAAAGCGGGGGAUCUUCGGACCUCGCGCUAUUGGAUGAGCCUAUGUCAGAUUAGCUUGUUGGUAGGGUAAUGGCCUACCAAGGCAACGAUCUGUAGCUGGUCUGAGAGGACGAUCAGCCACACUGGGACUGAGACACGGUCCAGACUCCUACGGGAGGCAGCAGUGGGGAAUAUUGCACAAUGGGGGAAACCCUGAUGCAGCAACGCCGCGUGGAGGAUGACGCAUUUCGGUGUGUAAACUCCUUUUAUAUGGGAAGAUAAUGACGGUACCAUAUGAAUAAGCACCGGCUAACUCCGUGCCAGCAGCCGCGGUAAUACGGAGGGUGCAAGCGUUACUCGGAAUCACUGGGCGUAAAGCGCGCGCAGGCGGCCCGAUAAGUUGGAUGUGAAAGCCUACGGCUCAACCGUAGAACUGCAUCCAAAACUGUCGGGCUAGAGUCUGGGAGGGGAAGAUGGAAUUAGUUGUGUAGGGGUAAAAUCCGUAGAGAUAACUAGGAAUACCAAAAGCGAAGGCGAUCUUCUGGAACAGUACUGACGCUGAGGUGCGAAAGCGUGGGGAGCAAACAGGAUUAGAUACCCUGGUAGUCCACGCAGUAAACGAUGAAUGUUAGUCGUCGGAGUCCUAGUGACUUCGGUGAUGCAGCUAACGCAUUAAACAUUCCGCCUGGGGAGUACGGUCGCAAGAUUAAAACUCAAAGGAAUAGACGGGGACCCGCACAAGUGGUGGAGCAUGUGGUUUAAUUCGAAGAUACGCGAAGAACCUUACCUGGCCUUGACAUUGAUGGAACCUGGCAGAGAUGCCGGGGUGCCCUUUUGGGAGCCUGAAAACAGGUGCUGCACGGCUGUCGUCAGCUCGUGUCGUGAGAUGUUGGGUUAAGUCCCGCAACGAGCGCAACCCUCGUCACUAGUUACUAACGGUUCGGCCGAGGACUCUAGUGAGACUGCCUUCGCAAGGAGGAGGAAGGUGAGGACGACGUCAAGUCAUCAUGGCCCUUACGGCCAGGGCAACACACGUGCUACAAUGGGCAGGACAAUGAGACGCGAUACCGCGAGGUGGAGCAAAUCUAUAAACCUGUUCUCAGUUCGGAUUGUAGUCUGCAACUCGACUACAUGAAGCUGGAAUCACUAGUAAUCGUAGAUCAGCUAUGCUACGGUGAAUACGUUCCCGGGUCUUGUACUCACCGCCCGUCACACCAUGGGAGUUGAUUUCACCCGAAGCGGGGAAGCUAAACUGGCUACCCUCCACGGUGGGAUCAGCGACUGGGGUGAAGUCGUAACAAGGUAACCA